rnacentral:rRNA from 1 species
UUAAGCGACUAAGCGUACACGGUGGAUGCCCUGGCAGUCAGAGGCGAUGAAGGGCGUGCUAAUCUGCGAUAAGCGCCGGUAAGGUGAUAUGAACCGUUAUAACCGGCGAUACCCGAAUGGGGAAACCCAGUGUGACUCGUCACACUAUCAUUAACUGAAUCCAUAGGUUAAUGAGGCGAACCGGGGGAACUGAAACAUCUAAGUACCCCGAGGAAAAGAAAUCAACCGAGAUUCCCCCAGUAGCGGCGAGCGAACGGGGAGGAGCCCAGAGCCUGAAUCAGCAUGUGUGUUAGUGGAAGCGUCUGGAAAGGCGCGCGAUACAGGGUGACAGCCCCGUACACAAAAGCGCAUGUGCUGUGAGCUCGAUGAGUAGGGCGGGACACGUGGUAUCCUGUCUGAAUAUGGGGGGACCAUCCUCCAAGGCUAAAUACUCCUGACUGACCGAUAGUGAACCAGUACCGUGAGGGAAAGGCGAAAAGAACCCCGGCGAGGGGAGUGAAAAAGAACCUGAAACCGUGUACGUACAAGCAGUGGGAGCACNGUGUGACUGCGUACCUUUUGUAUAAUGGGUCAGCGACUUAUAUUCUGUAGCAAGGUUAACCGAAUAGGGGAGCCGGAGGGAAACCGAGUCUUAAUUGGGCGUUAAGUUGCAGGGUAUAGACCCGAAACCCGGUGAUCUAGCCAUGGGCAGGUUGAAGGUUGGGUAACACUAACUGGAGGACCGAACCGACUAAUGUUGAAAAAUUAGCGGAUGACCUGUGGCUGGGGGUGAAAGGCCAAUCAAACCGGGAGAUAGCUGGUUCUCCCCGAAAGCUAUUUAGGUAGCGCCUCGUGAAUUCAUCUCCGGGGGUAGAGCACUGUUUCGGCUAGGGGGCCAUCCCGGCUUACCAACCCGAUGCAAACUGCGAAUACCGGAGAAUGUUAUCACGGGAGACACACGGCGGGUGCUAACGUCCGUCGUGAAGAGGGAAACAACCCAGACCGCCAGCUAAGGUCCCAAAGUCAUGGUUAAGUGGGAAACGAUGUGGGAAGGCCCAGACAGCCAGGAUGUUGGCUUAGAAGCAGCCAUCAUUUAAAGAAAGCGUAAUAGCUCACUGGUCGAGUCGGCCUGCGCGGAAGAUGUAACGGGGCUAAACCAUGCACCGAAGCUGCGGCAGCGACACUGUGUGUUGUUGGGUAGGGGAGCGUUCUGUAAGCCUGUGAAGGUGGCCUGUGAGGGUUGCUGGAGGUAUCAGAAGUGCGAAUGCUGACAUAAGUAACGAUAAAGCGGGUGAAAAGCCCGCUCGCCGGAAGACCAAGGGUUCCUGUCCAACGUUAAUCGGGGCAGGGUGAGUCGACCCCUAAGGCGAGGCCGAAAGGCGUAGUCGAUGGGAAACGGGUUAAUAUUCCCGUACUUGGUGUUACUGCGAAGGGGGGACGGAGAAGGCUAUGUUGGCCGGGCGACGGUUGUCCCGGUUUAAGCGUGUAGGNNNNNNNNNNNNNGACGAGGCACUACGGUGCUGAAGCAACAAAUGCCCUGCUUCCAGGAAAAGCCUCUAAGCAUCAGGUAACAUCAAAUCGUACCCCAAACCGACACAGGUGGUCAGGUAGAGAAUACCAAGGCGCUUGAGAGAACUCGGGUGAAGGAACUAGGCAAAAUGGUGCCGUAACUUCGGGAGAAGGCACGCUGACACGUAGGUGAAGUGAUUUACUCAUGGAGCUGAAGUCAGUCGAAGAUACCAGCUGGCUGCAACUGUUUAUUAAAAACACAGCACUGUGCAAACACGAAAGUGGACGUAUACGGUGUGACGCCUGCCCGGUGCCGGAAGGUUAAUUGAUGGGGUCAGCGCAAGCGAAGCUCCUGAUCGAAGCCCCGGUAAACGGCGGCCGUAACUAUAACGGUCCUAAGGUAGCGAAAUUCCUUGUCGGGUAAGUUCCGACCUGCACGAAUGGCGUAAUGAUGGCCAGGCUGUCUCCACCCGAGACUCAGUGAAAUUGAACUCGCUGUGAAGAUGCAGUGUACCCGCGGCAAGACGGAAAGACCCCGUGAACCUUUACUAUAGCUUGACACUGAACAUUGAGCCUUGAUGUGUAGGAUAGGUGGGAGGCUUUGAAGUGUGGACGCCAGUCUGCAUGGAGCCGNCCUUGAAAUACCACCCUUUAAUGUUUGAUGUUCUAACGUGGACCCGUUACCCGGGUUGCGGACAGUGUCUGGUGGGUAGUUUGACUGGGGCGGUCUCCUCCUAAAGAGUAACGGAGGAGCACGAAGGUUGGCUAAUCCUGGUCGGACAUCAGGAGGUUAGUGCAAUGGCAUAAGCCAGCUUGACUGCGAGCGUGACGGCGCGAGCAGGUGCGAAAGCAGGUCAUAGUGAUCCGGUGGUUCUGAAUGGAAGGGCCAUCGCUCAACGGAUAAAAGGUACUCCGGGGAUAACAGGCUGAUACCGCCCAAGAGUUCAUAUCGACGGCGGUGUUUGGCACCUCGAUGUCGGCUCAUCACAUCCUGGGGCUGAAGUAGGUCCCAAGGGUAUGGCUGUUCGCCAUUUAAAGUGGUACGCGAGCUGGGUUUAGAACGUCGUGAGACAGUUCGGUCCCUAUCUGCCGUGGGCGCUGGAGAACUGAGGGGGGCUGCUCCUAGUACGAGAGGACCGGAGUGGACGCAUCACUGGUGUUCGGGUUGUCAUGCCAAUGGCACUGCCCGGUAGCUAAAUGCGGAAGAGAUAAGUGCUGAAAGCAUCUAAGCACGAAACUUGCCCCGAGAUGAGUUCUCCCUGAGACUUUAGGUCUCCUGAAGGAACGUUGAAGACGACGACGUUGAUAGGCCGGGUGUGUAAGCGCAGCGAUGCGUUGAGCUAACCGGUACUAAUGAACCGUGAGGCUUAACCUU